rnacentral:lncRNA from 1 species
GGGAGAUAUCUUUCUUUUCCCCAUCUCAUUCCCUCCGUUGACCGACAGCGGCAGCAGGCGCCGUUCAGACUUCUGCCCUCGCCGGAAGAGGGGUUAUCGCGGUGGCGGACAUGGUCGUGGGUUCGAAGAGGGAAGAACGGUUGUUGGUGCCUAGGGUUUUCAGAGAUGACUUAGGGGCUAGACUGUUGGGUGAGCGGCGGUCGGAGGCGACGCCGGCGAAGGGGAAGAGGUUGGCCGGAUUUGUGGUUUUCUGAGAGAGAUUUGUGGUUUUCUGUGGUUUUUCAGAGAUGGCUUAGGGGCGGUGGUCGGAGGUGAAGCCCUUCGCCGGGUAAUCGAAGCAGGAGAGGUGGAGUUGGUGGAAUCUGUGUGUGAUUAUUUGAGGGAGAUUUGAGGGAGUGUGGCGAUGGCUUCGCCGCCGCUGAGCAAGGGGACGUCGCCGCGUGGCUCGGCUGCAGAACCUAGAGCAGAGGAGGCGAUUUGGGGGAUAUGGUUUUGCAGAGGGCGCCGCCGCCGCUUGAGAAGCGGUCGGCGGCUCUGUUGGUGGAGGAGGGCGGCGGAGGGGGGCCUCUGCUGGUGGGAGAAGGCGGCGGCUCUGUUGGUGGAGGAGGGCGGUGAAGGGGAGAGGGGUGGCUCUGCUGGUGGGAAUGGGAAAGUCAGCGGUUCUGUUGGUGGAUGAGGACGAGGAGUUUGUGACGUGUGUGUGUGUCUGAGAGAGGAGAGAGGUGUGUUUGUGUGAUUUGGCAAUUCCGGCAGCCACGUUGGCAAUUCCGGCAAUCACAUUGGCAAUUCGACUGCCACCUCAGACUAAUUUGGGCGAAAUUGUAAAUGAUGGGAUAAUUGCAAAUAAAUUAUAAAUUCAUGUAUUUUUUUGCCCAAAAAAAAAGUGAUGAUAUAAAUCAGAAAAUUGAUAAAUUUGAUGUAUUUUAUGGCAAUAACCCC